rnacentral:tRNA from 1 species
CCCCUUGUAGCUCAGUGGUCGAGCGCUGGCUUUGGAAGCCACAGGUCGAUGGGUCAAAUCCACCCGGGCGCA